GCCGACCAAAGAUAGAGGAGAUUUGGGUUAUGACUUCAAGCUUCAUAACAUACUUUGGUAGAAGAAGAAGUGCAUCUAAGAGAAGGUUUAAAAGUUUCUUUAUCUCAAACCCUAGUUAGAUUUAUGUGAUUCCUUAUGGUUGUUUUGAAAAUAAAUGAUGAGUUUAUAUUUUUAAGCCAUAUGAUAGUAGUUCUAUAUGUUAGAGGAUGUUUUAUGGUUAGACAUAUUCAUUUUAUGUGUUGAUAAGCUUUGAUGAUUAACAAGAACAAAAACUGUUUUUGAACAAAAAUCCUAGAAAUUUCAGUCCACUUUGGACAACCACCAUUUUUGAUCCAUAACUUAUUUUUGAGAUCCAUCAAAGUUGUGAGUUAGAUCUAUGAGUUAUCUAAAGAACCACAUUAGAAUCACUGAAAAAUACUAAACGAACCGACCGUAACGCGAUUUCUACCAAAAUAGUUUUUCACCGAAAAACCUAAAAACCCUACUGUCCAUAUUUUUCGUGGACUGUUUAGGCCAAUUAGAGAGCUUGAAAAAUUCUGUACUUUUAGUAUAUGUUAAUAUAUGAAAGUUAUCUAUCUACUUUCCAAAAAUGAGCAUUUUUUGACUUCGUGAGACGGAGUUAUAGUCUGUCAAAGAUUUUGCAAUUUUUAAAAGAAACUGUUAUAACCCUAGAUCUAUAGCUCAGAAAAUUAUGCAAUAAUUAUUUGGGUCAGUGUUUGAUGAUAUGAGGCUACUGUAUAAAUUUUGGAAUUUUUUUAAUAAAAGGAUAACUUUUGAUAAAUGUUGUAGUUUCGAGUAGAAAUGGCCUAUUUAAAAAUAGGAAAUAAGCUUGAAAAAUUAUAAAAAAUUAUUUUGUGACUAAAAUAUAAUAUAUUAACGUAUUCCAGAAGAUAUAAAAAUAACAAUUUAAGUAGGUAUUUUUAAUGCCUAUGAAUGAGUUAAGAAUAACAAAGGAAAUUAAGUUAUAUUAAGUCAUAAAUUUGUUAAUGUGAUUUUAUUGACUAAUGAUCAACAAGCUGAUGUAUUAAGACUAUAUAAGGGUAAGUUGGUCAUUUUAAUAAAAUGUUAUAAGAAUGGCAUGUUAUGUUUGUUAAAUGAAUUAAAUAAGAAGAGAUAAAUGUUGGUUUUUAAUCUUUUGUGAUUUUAAUGAUGACAAUAUUAUCAGGUUUAUAUUUAUUGGAUUUUAUUUAAAUUGUUUGGACUGAUUUAAUUUAUUAUAUGUUGAUCUCUUGAUUGGUCUAUAUUUGAUUAACAGUUCAUUAGUUGAUGUACUCAAAGGAAUUUAUAUUGCUGAAGAGGUUUCCUUAAUAUAUAUUUUGUUUAGAGUCAAAUUAAGAUAUGUUAUAUUAUUUGAUUAUGAGUCUAUUAAGGAAUCCAUCAUGGAUAUGCAAUUUGUUGGGUAUUUCAAAUCAGACUCUCUCUCCUUGUUUUAAGUUUUUCAGUCUAUUUUGGAAACUAUAUUCUUGAAUAAGCUGUUGUGAUAUCCGUUGGUUAAAAAUAAAGUGCUAGUAUCAUGUGAUUUUCCAAUUAAACUAAAUAUUUAUUCUAACAGCUCUUUUUAUAGUCGUUGUUCCUAUUAUUAUAUAUACUUCUCCUUUAUGGCAAAGCAAAAAAUACAAAGAAGCAUAUAUCAGUUAAGGACACUUGAAGCUAAUAUCAGUCUUUAUACAGAGAAAAUUUCAUUGAGAGCUUUCAAAGUCUAUUUCCAGCAAUCUAUUGUAUUAAUUCCUUUUGGACUAGAAAAACAUAGUUCAUUGUAAUCAUAUUCCCUUGUAUUAAAAUAUGAGUUCAAGCUUUGUUUGACUUGAUUGAUCUAGUAGUGGAAAGGGUUUGUUCAAAUAGAGCUUUCAAGGUUGUAGAGGUGCAAAGGUCUCAAUAGUGAGAAAGGUUGCAGAAGUGCAAAAGGGCAGUGGUGUCCAUCAGUGUGAAGCAAAUUUGAACAGGGAGUUAUUUUUAUUGUAUUUAAUUGAGUAUUAAUUUUAAUAAAAAGAGUCUCCAAUACCGAUUGGUAUUGGACGUGAAUUAAGCCACUAGAUUAGAGGAUAGGGACAGAACCACGUAAAAAUCUUGGUGUGAAUUUCUAUUUUGUUCUUCUCUAUUAUGUUUUCUUAUUUUUGGAUAUUUUGCUUUGCUCACGUUUGAAGAUAUACUAAUCCAGACACUAAAGCGGACAGACAUAUUUGUCUGAUAGUAAUUGAUGAAGAACAUAAGCUAAAGCAGACACACAUAACUGUCUGAAUUAAACCUGUUGCAGAAAGAAUCAAAAAGAUUUCAUAAUUUAUUACUUUUAUCGUAAACAUCUAUUCAAACCCCGCCCCCUAGGUGUGCUUAUACACAGAAUUAUAAUAAACAAUUAAAUUAAAUUAUUUAUAAAUUUAUAAAAUAAAUAAAAUAUUAUUAAAUGAUUAAUAAUAUUAGUAAAUGAUUAAAAUAUUAUUAAAUGAUUAAUAAUAUUAGUAAGUGAAUGAAAUAUUCUUAAAUGAUUAAUAAUAUUAGUAAGUGAAUAAAAUAUUAUUAAAUGAUUAAUAAUUUUAGUAAGUGAUUAAAAUAUUAUUAAAUGAUUAAUAAUAUUAAGAAAUGGAUAAAAUAUUAUUAAAUUAUUAAUAAUAUUAGACGAGAGUUUAAGAUGAUUAUUAAGUGGUUGAAAAAUUAUUUAAGGAUGUUAAUAUUACUAAUGGUUUAAUGUAUUAUCUAAUAUUUACUUAUGUGAUUAAAUGUUAGAUAAUUUGUUAUAGAGUAGUAGUACUAUGAAUCAAAAUGUGUUAUACUAAUUGAAAGAUUAAUCUUAUUAAUGAUAGGUAUUCUUAUGAUUGUUUCACGAUGUUUGAAGUUCUAAAUUGUUCAAUGUUGAGUAAAUCCUAAAAUUUAUACAAAUCUUUUAUAUUUGUACAAGUGCUUAAGCUAUCUUUAAAAUUCAAUUAUGCCUUAAAUGUUUAAGUACUACGUCAAUAUCACUUGUUUCGGCUAGACUAAUAUUAAAUUGUUAAAGUAUGAAACGUUCUAUUAUUUGUGAAGUGAUUUGUUAUCGAAGAUCUAUGCCACUUGUUUCGGCUAGACUAAUAUUAAAAUUUUAAAGCAUGAAACAUUAUCUUAUUUAUGAACAGAUUUGUUAUUGAAGAUUUAUGCCACUUGUUUUGACUAGACUAAUAUUAAAUUAUUAAAGCAUGAAACAUUCUAUUAUUUGUGAACUGAUUUGUUAUUGAAGAUUUAUGCCACUUAUUUCGGCUAGAUCAAUACUGAUAUAAUAUGUUGAAAUCAUGGCAUUUCUUCGAAACAAAUUUAAACCAUAUUGUUAUGGUACGGACUCAUAAUGUAAGACUGAAAUGAACAAUCCUUAUAAAUGGGGAACUUUAUUGUCGAACAUCUGACCUCGUGCGCUAUGUUUGAGUAUUAUGCCUAAUAUAGGGCACAAUGAGGCUGAUCACCUCACGUACUAGCAGAAGAGUAUAAUUAGUCUUUAUGACUAAUUUAUACUAUUGAGAUAUUUAGUUUUAUUAACUUAUAUUUCCUCUAGAAGUUCACGAUCCAUAGCGAUCACUCAGCAUGAAAUUUGGGAAUAACCCUCUCUAUUGAAUGUUAUUGUAGUAAUGUUAAUUUUUCACAAUCAUUAUAUAUUGUUGAAAAUUCAGAAGCUAAUUCUUUUCCAAUUAUGUUAUAUCGUUCUUGUAUUUAUUGUCUACUUGAACUUGUUGAGCAAACUAGUUGUUCACCCUUGCUUAAAAUAAAACUUUUCAGCUAAAGUCCCCAAAGGUUCUAUGAAGGACAAAGGCAAAGAGAAGGUGACCGAGAAGUGUAAUAUGUGUGUUGUUUAUUAUAUAUAUUGAUAUAAACCUUUUGUAUUAUUAGUCAUGUAUUGUAAACGUUAGUUAGACAUGGGAUAAGUUUUGUAUUAAGGCAAUGUAAUGAAUGAUGUAAUUCAUAAGGAAUGGGUAGAUGUGUGUGAUGUAUCGUGAGCACAAAAUUCAAG
rnacentral:lncRNA from 1 species